rnacentral:lncRNA from 1 species
AUCAAGAUCAACCAAAUAGAUGUUGCCAUCCCUAUGUCCAAUGAACUCUAUACUUUCAUCAAAGCCAAAGGGACUAGAAAUAAUACACAUAAAAGAUUCAAAAGUAACUUUGAAAUUUUUAUCACAAAGUUGAUUUAUACUAAGCAAAUUAUAUUUUAAACUAUCAAAUAGUAGAACAUUCUCUAUAAAGAUAAAAGAAGUAAUGUUUAUUUUAUCAAUUCUAAUGAUUUUGUCUUUGCCAUUGUCGUUAAAAGUUACUACUCUUCCUUCCUUUAUUUUAAAGGUGAUA